rnacentral:pre_miRNA from 1 species
UUAAAUGUUAUGUUUAGCUGGGUGUGGAAGUUGUUCACUUUAAAUGUUAUGUUUAGCUGGAACUUCCACACCCAGCUAAACAUAACAUUU